GCCAGUAUGGUGGAUAUAACCCUCGGCUUGUAAUCGAGUGGCCUCGGGUUCGAAUCCCGAGUAAGGCA
rnacentral:tRNA from 1 species